UACAGAGGUCUCCAGCGUUGUUCGGAUUCAUUGGGCGUAAAGGGUGUGUGGGUGGCGCCGUAAGUCGGGUGUGAAAUUUCGGAGCUUAACUCCGAAACUGCAUUCGAUACUGCGGUGCUUGAGGACUGGAGAGGAGACUGGAAUUCAUGGUGUAGCAGUGAAAUGCGUAGAGAUCAUGAGGAAGACCAGUGGCGAAGGCGGGUCUCUGGACAGUUCCUGACACUGAGACACGAAGGCCAGGGGAGCAAACGGG
rnacentral:rRNA from 1 species